CCCGCUGAACUUAAGCAUAUCAAUAAGCGGAGGAAGAGAAACUAACGAGGAUUCCCUUAGUAACGGCGAGUGAAGAGGGAGAAGCUCAAACUGUAAAUCAAUAACAUUUAUGUUGUUGAAUUGUAGUCUCUUAGAGAGUUACUUGUGUUCUUUGGUUGAGAAGUUCCCAGAGUAGGGACGUAUUAGCGGGUGAAAGCCCCGUACUCAUCUAGAUAGGACAUAUUGUGCUCUUUUAUGGAGUCGUACUCCUUGUAAUUGGAGUAUUAACGGGUGGUAAACUCCAUCUAAAGCUAAAUAUGCGCAGGAGGUCAAUAGUUGAAAAGUACCGUGAGGGAAUGGUGAAAAGAACUUUGAAAAGAGAGUUAAAAGCACCUGAAAUCGCCAAGGGGGAAGCGGUAGAACAGGCCUAUCUUAAAGAGAAAGCAUUCGUUCUUUGUUUGCUGCUCUCUUUUUUGAUGUUAUAGAUUGGGGCGCAAAACUUGAUUACUAGAUGUCUCUUUUGAGCUCUGGUGUGCUUGUUAUUGCUUGACCCCACUGCUGCUAUAGUAUAGCCAGUUUCUAUCGUCCCGUCUUGAAACACGG
rnacentral:rRNA from 1 species